rnacentral:rRNA from 1 species
AACCUACCCUGAGGUCGGGGAUAAACCCGGGAAACUGGGUAUAAUACCCGAUAGAUCUAGAAUGCUGGAAUGCUUUUAGAUCUAAAGUUCCGACGCCUCAGGAUGGGUCUGCGGCCUAUCAGGGUAGUAGUAGGUGUAACGUACCUACUAGCCUACGACGGGUACGGGUUGUGAGAGCAAGAGCCCGGAGAUGGAUUCUGAGACACGAAUCCAGGCCCUACGGGGUGCAGCAGGCGCGAAACCUUUACAAUGCUGGCAACAGCGAUAAGGGGACCUCGAGUGCCAGGAUACAAUCUUGGCUGUCGCGAUGCCUAAAAAGCAUUGCAUAGCAAGGGCCGGGCAAGACCGGUGCCAGCCGCCGCGGUAACACCGGCGGCUCGAGUGGUAACCGCUAUUAUUGGGUCUAAAGGGUCUGUAGCCGGCCGGAUAAGUCUCUUGGGAAAUCCAGCUGCUCAACAGUUGGGCUUUCAGGAGAUACUGUUCGGCUCGAGACCGGGAGAGGUGAGAGGUACUUCAGGGGUAGGGGUGAAAUCUUGUAAUCCUUGAAGGACCACCAGUGGCGAAGGCGUCUCACCAGAACGGAUCUGACGGCAAGGGACGAAAGCUAGGGGCACGAACCGGAUUAGAUACCCGGGUAGUCCUAGCCGUAAACGAUACUCGCUAGGUGUCAGCCACGGUGCGACCGUGGUUGGUGCCGUAGGGAAGCCGUGAAGCGAGCCACCUGGGAAGUACGCCGCAAGGCUGAAACU